CAGCCGCCACGGUAAUACGGAGGGUGCGAGCGUUAAUCGGAAUUACUGGGCGUAAAGCGUGCGCAGGCGGUUCGUUAAGACAGAUGUGAAAUCCCCGGGCUUAACCUGGGAACUGCAUUUGUGACUGGCGAGCUAGAGUAUGGCAGAGGGGGGUAGAAUUCCACGUGUAGCAGUGAAAUGCGUAGAGAUGUGGAGGAAUACCGAUGGCGAAGGCAGCCCCCUGGGCCAAUACUGACGCUCAUGCACGAAAGCGUGGGGAGCAAACAGGAUUAGAUACCCCCGUAGUCCCUGUCUCUUAUAC
rnacentral:rRNA from 1 species